rnacentral:rRNA from 1 species
UACGUAGGGACCAAGCGUUGUUCGGAUUUACUGGGCGUAAAGGGCGCGUAGGCGGCCACCGCAAGUCGACUGUGAAAUCUCUGGGCUUAACCCGGAAAGGUCAGCCGAUACUGCGGGGCUAGAGUGCAGAAGGGGCAACUGGAAUUCUCGGUGUAGCGGUGAAAUGCGUAGAUAUCGAGAGGAACACCUGCGGCGAAGGCGGGUUGCUGGGCUGACACUGACGCUGAGGCGCGAAAGCUAGGGGAGCGAACGGG